GACGAACGCUGGCGGCGUGCCUAACACAUGCAAGUCGAACGAGCGAGUGCGAGCUUGCUUUCUCGAGCGAGUGGCGAGCGGGUGAGUAACGCGUGAGGAACCUGCCUCAAAGAGGGGGACAACAGAUGGAAGCGACUGCUAAUACCGCCUAAGUACUCGGCUCGGCAUCGAGGUGGGGGAUAAGGAGUAAUCUGCUUUGAGAUGGCCUCGUGUCCGAUUAGCUAGUUGGUGAGGUAACGGCCCACCGAGGCGGCGAGCGGUAACCGGAAUGGGGGGUUGACCCGCCACACUGCGAGUGGGACACGGCCCGAACUCCUACGGGAGGCAGCAGGGGGGAAUAUUGCACACUGGGGGAAAGCCUGAGGCAUCGGCGCCGCGUGGAUGAGGAAGGUGUGCGGAUUGUAAGCGCCUUUUCUUGGGGAAGAUAAUACCGGUCCCAAACAAGGAAGUAACGGCAACCUCCGU
rnacentral:rRNA from 1 species